UACGGCCGCAAGUGUGCAAACGCAGUUGGACGGCUGGGCUACAACCGCGACAAUUGCGGGCUACGCGUCCACGAACGUGUCCCAUUUGCCCGUUCGGCAGUUGCCGAGGAUCCGAACGGUAUUACGUGGCUUCGUUCGCGUCGAGGUGCAAGGAAGACGAGGAAAGGGGACGGGGAGGAGAGGAGAACGCAUAUGCCGGGAUAGAAGGCACGUAGAGCCUCUAUGCAGAGACUCCAGCUGCGCCAUGUGCGUCGUUUGCCGCAAACGUGACGGCGCUCGUCAUACGCCGCGGCUACGGAGGAGACGCGAUCCCUUUUUAUAAAUCCUGCUUAAGGCGGAACGGAGUCGCCGUGUCCCGAGCCAACGCCCUCAACCUUCCUUCGCGUCGAGUCCACGCUUUUCCACAGAUCUCUAAAGAACGAUCGAAUCCACGGAGUUUCUCGCCCAGUGUGUCCAAGAUUCCAGUCAGUUUAUCAUUGGUGGUCGAGAUGCGGAGAGGAGAUGGCGCCGAUUAAAGCGCGGGAAGCGAAGCUAUAAAGGAGGCAGGAACUAUUCAAGCAGGUGGAUCACGACGGUUCGCGCUAUUAACUGGCCGGCAGUAAUGAGAAACGUCUGGAGACAGUCUGGAGACUGUAGGAAAUGAUGCAACGUUCGUGGAAUCGAAUAGAAAGUCCAGUAGCUGCGAUACGAUGAUCCGAAGACGUCGAUGAGAAAUUAACAUUACUGCAACGUGACGCAUCGUGCAUACCUAAUAAACAGAACCGACGACGUCCCGAUCGAGCGCCAUUCCCGCGAGAAGCUUCGAACCUUUCGCGAAACGUAAGAAGAAAGGAUACGAAGGAUUGGUGCCACGCUGGUCCAGAUAGAAGGUCCUCGAGAGCGGGUGGAGGGAGGGAGGGAAGUGGUUGCUUAACAGAAGCGUGUUACAAGCGGUGGAUCUUCUGUAAGCUGUAAGAUGAUACUUCUGGUUGAUGAGGCCGUGGCAAAGGAACGUAGUAGGGGUUAUAAGGCGGGGUGGAAAGGGGAAGGGCGUCGUGCACCGCGAAACUUUUGUUAUUAAGAGCGGGCCCGGUGGUGGAUUGGAGAAACGACUGCGAUCGCGUGUAUUAGGAAACGAAGCCACCGGGUUCGCCGUAACUCACUCUCUGCCGCGUUAUAUAGCGAGUUAACUAAGCAGUUCGCGUUUCAGAAACGUGAAACGAUAACGCACGCAUAAUGCAAACCGCGCGGCGCGCAACGCCGGAAACGGAAUGCCGUAAAAUAGUAUCUUCGACCGCGAACGCGAUAAAUUUUCCGCUUUCGAGCUUAAAUUACCCGCCGCGCGCUCGCAACGAGCCGAAGAUAUCCGCGUUUCGGCUCGAUACCGGUGCCCCUCGCGAGCGCCAGAUAUCCGUGGUUAUUAAACGGUCUGCGCGGACCUUUAUCUUGCGUGGAUGCGCGCGCAACGCGUGCGAACGAGCCCGUGUUUAGCCGAUUCGAGGUUAUUUGCUCGCUUGUUCGAUCAGCUUCUACGUUCGAGAAAUGGUAAUUAAUUGUAACUUUUACGAAUUUUUAUCAUCGAAAUGUUAAAAUUGUCGUUUUAAUUCAGGAUUUUUAUUUCGCCUUUGCGAUAGUAUAGUGGAAAUUUGGAUUGAUCGAGAUGCACGAUGGACGAACGCGUGACUGGGACAUUUGAGGUUAUGUACUUGUGGAUGAUUAGUUUUUACGUUUGAGUGGGAAAUGUAAAUAUAAUUAAUUGUAAUUACGAAUCGUUUAUUAUCGAUCAUUGUAUUAUUUGGUGGAAUAAUCGAUCGAUUAUUAAAAACUAUAAAUAUAUCACGAAGCAAUUAAUUUUCGAAAGUAGAUGUUUAUGUUAUAUGAAAGAACACAUGAAAGUAAAUUGACUAGUUAAGUUUUUAUAAAUAUGCAAGUAAUAAUCGUCGAUUUCAGUUCGAAAGAGAGAUUUUAAGAUUUCUAACAUCCGUUAUUGCAUGCGUUUACGAUUCUUGAAAAAGAAAGUGCACGCAUCCUAGCGCAAAGUUGAAACUCACCAUUUUUAAUUCGGGAUAAGGAAGUAUUAUUAUUUUGCCGUGUCACGAAUAUUAAAAUUAAUUUCCGUUAUGAGGAUGUAAAAAUCGGUAAUUAAAUGUAAGAAUUAGCUUGCAAAGUAAGUAGUCGAUUCGAAUUAAUUAAAUACUGAAAACUAAACUGAAAUCCGAACAAGAAGUUAAUUGCAUGCAAUCUGAAAUCUAGUUAUUGGUUUAUUUACGUUCGGAAAUUAAUCUAUAAAAAUAUAUUCAUUUAUUGAACGCCAUUUCAAAUAUUCUUCCACAUAGAAUUAUUCUUGCAGAACAUUCAUAAAUGUAAUUUUAACAAAUGCAUUUAAUCAUUAUGUAUUAAUAGGAAUUACAAAAUUUACAACCUGUUGGACACAUAAAUUAUGGUAAUUCAAUUGAAUUUUGUGUAACUAAAGAAUGUUUAAAUUUAUAUACCUAUAAAUUAUAAUCGAAAAUAUUGAAAAGCAUUUGAAUUACUAUAGCAAUUACUAUUCAUUUAAUUCAUUCUAUAUAACCUUUCAAUAUUGGAAAAAUAUUAAAAUUUCAAAAAACCAAUACGUAUCUUUCUAUAUUCGUUAAAAUUUAUCUCGAUAAUUGUACGAUAUGACGCGAUAUCGCUGUAAUUAGAGAAAAAUAUAUUAAAUGGGCGAAUUAAGUGAUCAGAAAUCCAAGAACUCAUCGAGAUUAUCACUUUCCACAGAGAAAUAACAGCAAUGAUAUAAAAUACAUCAUCCACGAUAAUGCAUCGUCAAACAACUCGCUUUUACGACCUGAAUAAACGAGGAGCGCAUCAAGUUUAACCUCCGUUAGACGUAGCCGUUCGCAGAUUCGCGAAUCUAGUACGAGCAUCAAGAAUUCAACCGCAACUUUCCUUUACGAUUCUACAUCGCGAACAUACAUAUGUACGUUUGGUUUCAAAACCGCAAAACGUAAACUGUAGUAUCGUCUCUGUUGUCGAAAGAAAAUCGUCGUACGAUUAAUAUCGCGUUACGCAUAUAUUUGGCAAUAUUUGUAUACUAUAAUACUCUGGAAAACUUUCUUAUAGAGAACGAUUUGCUUUUUUUUUUUUUUUCUUAAAUCUUACAUCAAACGUACAACUUCCAACUUGAAAUACAAAUUUUUCAACAUUCGGUUAAUUCGCCUCGUCAUAAUUUGCAUUUAUUUCCAUUCCAUAAGAACUUAUCCACACUUUCACGUGUACUUAUUCGCACAUAAACGCAUCGAUAAACGUUAAUUUUACAUAUAUCGUAAUAAAACUUUCGAGAAUCGCUCUCGACGAGAAUAA